rnacentral:lncRNA from 1 species
CCUCCGAAACCUCAGCGGGGUCUCAGGCACGUCCGAAAGCUGCGCGUCGCCGCCUUUAUUUUAUCCAACUCAGCGGGCUUCGCCUGAGUCGGAUUCGCAAAGCGCCGCCCUCGCGGGAGCCGUCCCGCCACCGGCCAGGAGUUGUCCGCAUUAUCCCUUGGAGCAUCUCAGGCGUCUGCCGUGCGGCCCGUGCCCGCCAACAGGGCGCUGGCGGGCCUUCGCGGCGGGCGGGCAGCUUUCCGCCCGUCACCCCUGUUAAUUCGAGGCGUUUGCAGGCAGCAUCGAUAUGCCUUUUUCCUUUCUUUUGGGUUUUUUUCCCCCCCCUCCCCGCUCUCGCUGCUGCUGGCUGGUGUGGCCUGGCUCGUUUUCUGGUUUCUUAUUCUCUUCGCGUUGCAGCCGGGAAGGGCAGGGGGAAGGAAAACGCGUGCGUGCACGAGAGAGAGAGAGGGACGGAGGGAGGCUGGGAAGGAUGCUUUAGCCGAAACACCUGCAGGACUUGAUAGAAAAGAGCUCCCCCCUCCCCUUUUUUUUUAAUAGUCCAAUUUCACCAGAAAAUGGGACAAUUUGCUGAUGCGUUAAUUUUGUCGGGAGCUACUGUAUUUGUUUCCACUUUAGUUCACGCGCUGCCUUGUUGGGGGCUGCGGGUUCGUCGGUAGGAGAUCCUCCCGCUGGAUAAAAGCGGAAGACGGAGCCGCUAGUGAGGCAGAGUUGUUAUUUUUGCUUUACAGCCAGAGACGCGACCCCGUCACCCCAGACGCUGGGACGCGACGGAGGCAGGAUUUGGGGGUCUGCUCCAAACCGGCAGCGCUGAAAACCAUGUUCAGCCGCUGCCGAAGCUCGAUGGCGUUUACCUGGCACGAGCCAAUCUUGGCUUUACUGACGAGGCAACGGCCGGAUGUCGGAGGACGAGGUGGUCAUGGGAACGCGAUGCCCCGAGCGGGAGGAUGUCCCAGCGGCUCCAAAGCUGUAAGAAAAGUGGAAUAUUGGAGUUGCAGCUUCUGCAAACUGCCUUUUCUUUAUAUAGAGAGCCAGAAAGAGAAGGGAAAGCUCACCCAAACAACCCCUGAAAUCCCGUCUCCCAGUUCGGGCUGCUGUUUUCCGUCUUUCCGAGACAGCGGAGGAAAGGGGAGAUGGUUUCUCGCAGUCCUCUCGGGCCAGUGCGGGCCCAGCUGCGGCACCGCGGCUAAAUGCAGCCAUCCAGCUUGGAGGAAGAGGCAGAUAAGUUGGAGAGCGUUCAGGAGAGCGAGGGGGAAGAGAUUUGUUAAAAAGUGAUUAGUGAGGACCAAUUGUGAGAACUGAGAUAGUUUAGAAAAGACCAAAGGGGACCGUGGCGGCGACUGGUAACUCCGCAAGAGGGUGUUGUAAAGAUAACGUUAUCCAGCUGCCCAUGGGAGAGAGGACAAGAGGCAGCUCCCUUCGUCUGCAGCCAGGGUGAGAUAUUAGGAAAACCCUCUAUUAACCGUGCGGUUCAACACCUGAAUCGGCUGCUGCGGGAAGGCAUGAAAUUCCCCCAUAGGAGAUCUUUAAAGCCACCUUAGAGAAAGAC